GCCAGUAAGUAGCACCCCUCCACAGCCUCUGCAUCAGCUCCUGCCUCCAGGUUCCUGCCCUACUUGAGUUCCUGUCCUGACUUCCCUAGAUGAACAGUGAAGGGAAGUAAUAAGACAAAUAAACCCGUUCCUCCUCAAGUUACUUUAGUCAUGGUGUUUCAUCACAGCAAUGGUCACCCUAACAAAGACAGAAAUUGAUACCAGAUCAUGGGGUAUUGCUGUGACACACCUGACCAUGUUGCUUUGGGGAGGAUUAUAGGACUUUGGAGCUUUGGGCUAGAAAAACAAUUACGUGUUCGAAGCUUGGUGAGCUUUUCUGUGGGAUCUUGGAAGAAAAUAAGAAGGUUGAGAGCAAUGCAGACAACGGAGGCUGGUCUUGUGAAGUUCCAGAAAGUUCCUUAAAGACUCUAUCAGGACCAUUUGUUAUUUUGAGUUGAGAAUCUGUGGUUCUGGUCAGCUGGGGUAAAGAGUGAUUGGUUAGCAACCAGAACCACUGAAGUAAAGCCUUGGCUUUUCUGGAACAUCUGAUGCUGGUUAGCUGGAGCUGAACCGUUAGUGAUGAUUAAGAGCCCAGCAUCACUGAGGUGAAAUCUCCUAGGAAGUGUUUCCUCAGAGACAACAUGCAGAAGCUGUGUUCCAGAAGCACCCAGGAUUGUACCUCCACCUGGCAGCUGAACUUGGUAGUGUAAAAGCCACCCAGGUGGUACUGGUUUUGAAGCUAUGAAGCAGUCAUGGAGAACAGCUGAGACUUUGUAUUGUGAGAGGCCAGGAAUGUCAUGGGUGAAGGUAGUGCCUCAGUAGCAGUUGAAAGCCCAGCAUUAAAAGGGUCAUGCUGAGAAGCUGAGAUCUGGUACCAUGAAGAGAGCCCAGGAAAGGUAUUGGUGAAAGCGCCCAGUUGCAGCAGAGACCCCAGCAUUUUGGAGGUACCAGUACCUUGAGACAAUCACCAAGAACAGCAGGAGCAAUGGACUGGAGCCAGAUGGAGCCUGGAAGACAAACCAUAUGUGUUGCAGAGGUGGGGCUAGAGAAGAGGCCCUUGGAGGAGCUCGGAAGAUCUGAGUGAACCCCAGGCUGAGAUGCAGAUCCAAGACCAGCAGCUGCUGCUCUCACUGAGGCACCUGCAGAGCCUCCUGGAGGAGCUUCGGGCCGAAAGCACCCACUGGGAGGAUAAAAGGCCCA